rnacentral:rRNA from 1 species
UGCCUACGGGGGGCAGCAGUGGGGAAUAUUGCACAAUGGGGGGAACCCUGAUGCAGCGACGCCGCGUGAGUGAAGAAGUAUUUCGGUAUGUAAAGCUCUGUCAGCAGGGAAGAAGAAAGACGGUACCUGACCAAGAAGCCCCGGCUAACUACGUGCCAGCAGCCGCGGUAAUACGUAGGGGGCAAGCGUUAUCCGGAUUUACUGGGUGUAAAGGGAGCGCAGGCGGCGCGCCAAGUCUGAUGUGAAACCCCGGGGCUCAACCCCGGGCAUGCAUUGGAAACUGGCGGGCUGGAGUGCCGGAGGGG